UUUUAGCCCUGGUAGCAGCGACAUCCUUUUGUUCUGUGCCACUGCACACAACACAAGAUACAGCGGAUAACAGGAAAUAGC
rnacentral:sRNA from 1 species